UACAGAGGUCCCAAGCGUUGUUCGGAUUCACUGGGCGUAAAGGGUGCGUAGGUGGUGAGGUAAGUCGGAUGUGAAAGCUCGGAGCUCAACUCCGAAAUGGCAUUGGAAACUACCUUGCUCGAGGGUUGGAGGGGGACUGGAAUACUUGGUGUAGCAGUGAAAUGCGUAGAUAUCAAGUGGAACACCAGUGGCGAAGGCGGCUCACUGGCCCGGUACUGACGCUGAGGUGCGAAAGCGUGGGGAGCAAACAGG
rnacentral:rRNA from 1 species